UUGUGAGGUGGUGGCUGAAAGUAUCCUCUCCCCAGUUCUGCUGGAGUGAAGUGGUGUGAUCUUGGCUCACUGCAACCUCUCCCUGCCAGGUUCAAGCGAUUCUCCUGCCUCAGCCUCCUGAGUAGAUGGGAUUACAGGCGCCCGCCACCAUGCUCGGCUAAUUUUUUUAUUUUUAGUAGAGAUGGGGUUUCACCAUGUUGGCCAGUCUGGUCUCGAACUCAUGAUCCACCCCCCUUGGCCUCCCAAAGUGCUAGGAUUACAGGCGUAAGUUGCUGCACCCGGCCCAAAAUGUUUUGAAAAUUCACAUAUUGGUAAUCUUCAUUUCUGAGAAUUACAACAGAGAAA
rnacentral:lncRNA from 1 species